AUUGAUUUUAUUCUUCAUCUAUAUUUUAUAUUGAAAUUUUGCUUGUAAGAUUUUGAAUAGAUUAAAGGUCCCCCUCAAUACCAUAGAGGGCCUAAAGUGAUUAAUUCAUACCUAUCAUCAAAGGAAGCUAGCCCCACCACUAUAAUGCUACACAAAGCUUCACUACGCUUUUCACAACUCAAGUGUUGUGUCCAAUAACCCAAGAGUAUUUGACAACUAAACUACAUUUAACUUGUUUGAAACAACUCUUUGAUUGAUGUAAAUUAAAUAAGGGUGGGCAAAACCAAUCAAAUGCAAUGGACCUAAUCCAACCGAAUCUAACACAAUCUAAUUUUGACGGUUUGAGUGAAUUGUUGUAAGUUAAUUGAGUCAAUUUUUUCAAAACCAAUUACUAAUUGGGUUUGAUUAAGUUAAUUAUGAUGAACUUAUGAUGAACUCGUCUAAUCCUACCCAACCCACGUAACUACUAGUACUAAUAAUAAUAGUAAUGAUGAUGACGAUGAUGAUAUGAUGUUAAUAAUAACUAUAAUUAUAAAUCAAAUCUAUUCAAAUGAUUAGGUUUUAUAGUUUAGGAAAUAAAUAUAUUUAAUAGAGAUACUUUUAAAAUAUAAUAUUUACUUCUCAUUCAGACUUUUUUCAUUUGAAUAAAAAAAAAGUUCACUUUUUUUAUUCAAAUGUGGAUGUAUGAAAAUCAGACAAAGGUUGCAAAAAGCAAACAAAUGAACUUAGAAAAAGAAAUCUAAAUUAAGAAAAUUUCAAAUUUCAUGCGUUUAAGAAACAAGUUCUUAAUUUGUAUUUUAAUUAAUGUAUUCUAAUUGGAUAAAGAU
rnacentral:lncRNA from 1 species